rnacentral:rRNA from 1 species
GUAUUAAUACCGCAUACGACCUACGGGAGAAAGGGGGCAGUUUACUGCUCUCGCUAUUAGAUGAGCCUAAGUCGGAUUAGCUAGAUGGUGGGGUAAAGGCCUACCAUGGCGACGAUCUGUAGCUGGUCUGAGAGGAUGAUCAGCCACACCGGGACUGAGACACGGCCCGGACUCCUACGGGAGGCAGCAGUGGGGAAUAUUGGACAAUGGGGGAAACCCUGAUCCAGCCAUGCCGCGUGUGUGAAGAAGGCCUUUUGGUUGUAAAGCACUUUAAGCAGUGAAGAAGACUCUUCGGUUAAUACCCGGAGACGAUGACAUUAGCUGCAGAAUAAGCACCGGCUAACUCUGUGCCAGCAGCCGCGGUAAUACAGAGGGUGCAAGCGUUAAUCGGAAUUACUGGGCGUAAAGCGAGCGUAGGUGGCUUGAUAAGUCAGAUGUGAAAUCCCCGGGCUUAACCUGGGAACUGCAUCUGAAACUGUUAGGCUAGAGUAGGUGAGAGGGAAGUAGAAUUUCAGGUGUAGCGGUGAAAUGCGUAGAGAUCUGAAGGAAUACCGAUGGCGAAGGCAGCUUCCUGGCAUCAUACUGACACUGAGGCUCGAAAGCGUGGGUAGCAAACAGGAUUAGAUACCCUGGUAGUCCACGCCGUAAACGAUGUCUACUAGUCGUUGGGUCCCUUGAGGACUUAGUGACGCAGCUAACGCAAUAAGUAGACCGCCUGGGGAGUACGGCCGCAAGGUUAAAACUCAAAUGAAUUGAC